rnacentral:lncRNA from 1 species
AUCUUCAAGAGAUUAGCCAAAUCAUUUUCUAAAGGUAUAUUUUGCUAUUGUGUUGAAGGAAAUACGUCUCCAACAGUGUAAAUGACUCUUCAAAUUUAGAAACUCUACAUCCCAUCUUAUUCGCUCUCUUACUUUUGAAUAGCCUACCUCACUAGCCAUUCUUUUAUACAUUGGCGGACUCAGGGGGGGGCUGGGGUGGCUGCAGCCCCCUCUUGGGCUCAAAAAAUGUUUAACAAUUUUUUUUUAGUGAAAGAUUUCAUGUAUUUAGUAUUUUUCUAUGUUUAUUCUAUGAAUAUUUACUUUUGAGCACUUUAAAUCAAUAUUAAAAUACCAAUUUUAGCUAUAUUUAUUAGUGUACUGGAUUGAGCGAGAAAUUUUUUUUAGCUAUAUUAUUUAGCCCCCUCUUAGUCCGUUUCUGGGUCCGCCACUGCUUUUAUCUGUUGGAUACUCUAAUAUCUUUUUAUCAAAUCUUUUUGAUAGAGUAGCUAAAUCAGUAAAUUUGGUAAGUCUUUUUAGUUAAUCUUUUAGAGAUGCUCUUACAUGACAACUUAUACAGAACUACAGCUAAGGUGUCACGUCCAGUCCAGAGACAGUAGAUGAGAUGAACUGAGUUGUUGC